rnacentral:rRNA from 1 species
CCUACGGGUGGCAGCAGUGGGGGAUAUUGCACAAUGGGGGCAACCCUGAUGCAGCGACGCCGCGUGAGCGAUGGAGUACUUCGGUAUGUAAAGCCCUGUCAGCAGGGAAGAGAAUGACGGUACCUGACCCAGAAGCCCCGGCUAAAUACGUGCCAGCAGCCGCGGUAAUACGUAUGGGGCAAGCGUUAUCCGGAUUUAUUGGGUUUAAAGGGUGCGUAGGCGGGCUGUUAAGUCAGCGGUAAAAAUUCGGGGCUCAACCCCGUCCGGUCGUUGAAACUGGGGGCCUUGAGUGGGCGAGAAGAAGGCGGAAUGCGUGGUGUAGCGGUGAAAUGCAUAGAUAUCACGCAGAACCCCGAUUGCGAAGGCAGCCUUCCGGCGCCCUACUGACGCUGAGGCACGAAAGUGCGGGGAUCGAACAGGAUUAGAUACCCUAGUAGUC